UACGAAGGGGGCUAGCGUUGCUCGGAAUCACUGGGCGUAAAGCGCACGUAGGCGGAUUUUUAAGUCAGGGGUGAAAUCCUGGAGCUCAACUCCAGAACUGCCUUUGUUACUGGGAAUCUCGAGUCCGGGAGAGGUGAGUGGAACUCCGAGUGUAGAGGUGAAAUUCGUAGAUAUUCGGAAGAACACCAGUGGCGAAGGCGGCUCACUGGCCCGGUACUGACGCUGAGACGCGAAAGCGUGGGGAGCAAACAGG
rnacentral:rRNA from 1 species